AAGUCGUAACAAGGUUUCCGUAGGUGAACCUGCGGAAGGAUCAUUACAAGGUUAACUGUCGUUCGCCCUCGGGCGCUUCGGCAGACCACGAUUCAUCCCUAUGUGCACUCAUCGAACAAAGGCCUCGGCGCAAAGUCUUCUCGUGGAGGACGAGCCAAAGGUUUUUAUUUUUUCAACUCGCUUCAAUUUUUUGCCUAACAUGUGAUUAUAAAUAAUCAAAUACAACUUUCAACAACGGAUCUCUUGGCUCUC
rnacentral:misc_RNA from 1 species